UCUCCGUUGGUGAACCAGCGGAGGGAUCAUUACCGAGUGCAAACUCAUAACCCUUUGUGAACCUAUAUCUGUUGCUUCGGCGGCUCGCUCUCGGGCGAACCCGCCGGUAAUAUCAGUAUCUCUGUUUGAACCCGACGAUACUUCUGAGUGUUCUUAGCGAACAUUUAAAACUUUUAACAACGGAUCUCUUGGCUCUA
rnacentral:misc_RNA from 1 species